rnacentral:rRNA from 1 species
UACGUAGGGUGCGAGCGUUAAUCGGAUUUACUGGGCGUAAAGCGUGCGCAGGCGGCCCGUUAAGACAGGUGUGAAAUCCCUGGGCUCAACCUAGGAAUUGCGCUUGUGACUGGCGGGCUCGAGUACGGUAGAGGGGGGGGGAAUUCCUGGUGUAGCAGUGAAAUGCGUAGAGAUCAGGAGGAACACCGAUGGCGAAGGCAGCCCCCUGGGCCUGUACUGACGCUCAUGCACGAAAGCGUGGGGAGCAAACAGU